UUCAAAUUUGUCUGACUUUGUCUUUAAAAAUAUAUAUAUGUAAGCCUUUUGAACUAAUUAAACUUGAAUGCCAAAGAACCGUAUAAAGAUGCCAAGGUCAGAGAUUUAAAUGCCUCGAUCAAUUAUAACGAGAGCGAUGCAAUUUAUGCAAUAUGAAACGCUACAUCCCUCUUUACAUCCCCGUUUUGCACGCGAGAGCGAAUGAGCGGAAGAGCGAAAGUUGAAAAAAAAAGUACUCUCAUCGCAAUGCGCGGUGUAUUUUAUUUUUCUUUUGCCCCGAAGGAACAAAAAACUUGAAUCGCGUCGAGGGGAGAAGCAAGCGCGAGUCUGUAGGUAAACCACGUCAGCUAUCUAAAUUAAACUUUUCCAUCCCUUCGGACUUCCUCCUUCUCCCUUCCUUCUCGACGACUAUGCAAUAUAUCAAAUCGUCUGUCAUAAAUCUAAAGCUUGAAUCGCGUCGAAUGUUGAUGUAACUGAUCGUUAAGAAAACUGCCGUUGGAAGCCAGGUGCGAUCAAAGAGGGAGAUAACAGAACAAUAAAAAUUAUCGAUAUUGACAGGUGUCAGAGACCUUUUACGAAUAUUUGAUUUCGAAAAAAAUAAUGAGUUACAUUUAUUUAUUAAAAUUUUUAAAAAUAAAGAUACAGUUUAAUUUAAAGUUCUGGGAUGAAAAUUCAAUGUACGAGGUAUCGAGACUUAACAAAAAUUUAUUUAUGCCGUUGGAAGCCAGGUGCGAUCAAAGAGGGAGAUAACAGAACAAUAAAAAUUAUCGAUAUUGACAGGUGUCAGAGACCUUUUACGAAUAAUUGAUUUCGAAAAAAAUAAUGAGUUACAUUUAUUUAUUAAAAUUUUUAAAAAUAAAGAUACAGUUUAAUUUAAAGUUCUGGGAUGAAAAUUCAAUGUACGAGGUAUCGAGACUUAACAAAAAUUUAUUUAUGCCGUUGGAAGCCAGGUGCGAUCAAAGAGGGAAAUAACAGAACAAUAAAAAUUAUCGAUAUUGACAGGUGUCAGAGACCUUUUACGAAUAAUUGAUUUCGA